rnacentral:rRNA from 1 species
UACAGAGGUCUCAAGCGUUGUUCGGAUUCAUUGGGCGUAAAGGGUGCGUAGGCGGCGGGGUAAGUCAGGUGUGAAAUCUCGGGGCUCAACCCCGAAACUGCACUUGAUACUGCCUCGCUCGAGUACUGGAGAGGAGACUGGAAUUUACGGUGUAGCAGUGAAAUGCGUAGAUAUCGUAAGGAAGACCAGUGGCGAAGGCGAGUCUCUGGACAGUUACUGACGCUGAGGCACGAAGGCCAGGGGAGCAAACGGG